rnacentral:rRNA from 1 species
UACGAACCGUGCGAACGUUGUUCGGAAUCACUGGGCUUAAAGGGCGCGUAGGCGGCGGCUCAAGUCCGGGGUGAAAGCCCCCAGCUCAACUGGGGAAGGGCCUCGGAAACUGGGUCGCUGGAGGGAGGUAGGGGCAGCGGGAACUUCGGGUGGAGCGGUGAAAUGCGUUGAUAUCCGAAGGAACGCCGGUGGCGAAAGCGCGCUGCUGGACCCCUUCUGACGCUGAGGCGCGAAAGCCAGGGGAGCAAACGGG